UUAUAGCAUACUAUUAAAGGUAGAGUAUUGAUAAAAUUCAUUAUAAUUAAUAUUUGUAGAAACGUAUAUUACUAAUUUUAACUUCACAGGAUAUCUAUAUAUAAUAAUUAAAUUCUAAGAAACACGUAAUACUAUCAGAUGCAGUUAACGCGGUCAUUAUAAUAGGAAUAUUUAACGUAACAAUAAAUUAAAAAUAACAAUAAAUUAAAUGAAUAUCUUGAUGAUUAAAUGAUAAAAUGGUAGUAUAGAACUGAUCUAAUAAAACUAUACAUUUUCUGAAAUAAAAUGUUAAAAUAAUAUUAAAAAGAAAAUAUCAGUUCUUAAUUUCAGAAAAAAAAAGAGAAGAAAAAAAAUCGUAAGAUAGAACAAGUAUGUAAGUAAAUUUUUCUCAAUUUAAUGGUAUGAAGUUGCCAACAAAGAAAACUAAUAGUCAAAUGUUCAAUAUAUUUUAAAAUAGUUUUUUCCUUUUUAUGAACUUUUAAUGACAGAUUUUUAAUAUUAAUUUUUUAUAAGAAUUAAUAACGUGCCCAAAUAUAUUAUUUAUUAAAUUUGUAUAAUGAUAAAUCGAGGAAAUAAUAACAAUUAUGUGUCAAGCUUUUAAUAUUAUGCAAGAUAAUACUGAGAUGCAAAAUCAUGGACAUUUUCGUUGGUUAUACAAGGUUCGUUAAUAAACUUAAGUUAUUAUUUGUAAUUCUAACUGUAAUUCUUACUAUAUUCCAAAAUGAUAUUAAUUAUAAUAUCAAUAAUAUAAUACAUAUAGUUAAUAAUUAAGUGAAAGGAAUAAAAUCAGAAAUAGAAUAAAAAAAAUAA